rnacentral:rRNA from 1 species
GACAGAGGUGCCGAGCGUUAGGCGGAAUCACUGGGCUUAAAGCGUGUGUAGGCGGACCGUUAAGUACCUUGUGAAAUCCCACAGCUUAACUGUGGAACUGCUCGGUAUACUGCUGGUCUUGAGCCACUCAGGGGCUACCGGAACAAAUGGUGGAGCGGUGAAAUGCGUAGAUAUCAUUUGGAACGCCAAUGGUGAAAACAGGUAGCUGGGGGUGUGCUGACGCUGAGACACGAAAGCCAGGGGAGCAAACGGG